UCCCUCUUAGCUCAGUGGUAGAGCGCGUCACUAGUAACUUCAUGUUAUGACGAGGUCAGUCGUUCAAGUCGGCUAGAGGGAA